rnacentral:rRNA from 1 species
CAACGACUCUCGGCAACGGAUAUCUCGGCUCUCGCAUCGAUGAAGAACGUAGCGAAAUGCGAUACUUGGUGUGAAUUGCAGAAUCCCGUGAACCAUCGAGUCUUUGAACGCAAGUUGCGCCCCAAGCCGUUAGGCCGAGGGCACGUCUGCCUGGGUGUCACGCAUCGUCGCCCCCCUCGCACCCGCCUCCCCGAGGCGGAGCGGUCGGGCGGAAACUGGCCUCCCGUGCGCUCCCCGCGGGCGGUUGGCCGAAAUUCGAGUCCUCGGCGACGGUCGCCGCGACGAUCGGUGGUGAAAGCAAAGCCUCGAGCUCCCCGUCGCGCGCCGCCGUCCCCGGGCAAGGGCUCCCGGACCCUGAUGCGCCGAACCGCGCUCGCGCCCGCGACCCCAGGUCAGGCGGGACUACCCGCUGAGUUUAAGCAUAUCAAUAAGCGGAGGAAAAGAAACUUACCAGGAUUCCCCUAGUAACGGCGAGCGAACCGGGAAGAGCCC